AUGGCGUCCCUGGCCGGAGCUGUCCAACUCCUGGUGAUCACGCAGCUGGUCGUCUCCACGCUGAGGCUCUUCCUAACAAUGGAGGCAUGUAGUUGCUUUUGCUUUGCAGAUCCGAUCCUCCACAUCAAUCCACGUCCUUAUUCCCCCCGCCGAUGCCGCGGACCGCUGCGGUAUAUCAACACUCACCGUGGAACACUUAAACUCAAUAAUCUCGAAGCCUUAUUAGUCAUCGAGUUGCAGCAGCGACGUGCAAGGUAUGAAGUUGAUGGCAACAUCUCCAAGGCUUCCGAUUCCAGGUGCAUGGGACAUGAUGUGCUCGAGCAUAUACUUGAUGGCACAGAGGAGCCGACGAAUCUACCGUUCGAGCUUCUGAAGAACAUCACCAGAAAUUUCUCCGAAGAGAGAGAAAUCGGUCAUGGUGGAUUUGGAAUGGUUUACAAGGGUGUGCUCCGAAAUGGGAUUGUUGCUGUGAAGAGGAUUUUCAGCCACCACACAAUCAAUGAAACGUUAUUUUAUCAUGAAGUUAACAGUCUAUUGAAUGUUAACCAUGAAAAUGUAGUCCGAUUUCUUGGAUACUGUGCUUGUACCGAGGAAAAGGCAAUGCGAAUUGAAGGAGUAAGAGAAUAUAUUUACGCCGAGAUAAGAGAAAGACUGCUCUGUUUUGAGUAUAUUGGCAACGGGAGCCUUCGUGAAUAUGUUACUGACGAGUUAAGGGGGCUUGAAUGGAAUACACGCUAUCAGAUAAUAAAACAAAUUUGUCAUGGUUUGCAUUACCUACACAUGGAAAAGCAUAUUCUUCACAUGGAUGUGAAACCUGACAAUAUACUUCUAGAUAAAGACAUGGUGGCAAAAAUCUCGGACUUUGGAUUAUCAAGACUGGAUGAAAAAUCACAAACAAUGGACGCAAAACAUUGUGUAACAUUAGGAUAUUGCUCUCCGGAAUACCUACUUGGUGGUAAGAUGUCAGUCAAAUCAGACAUGUAUAGCUUGGGUGUAAUAAUCAUUGAACUGGUGACAGGAUAUAAAGAUAUCCCCGACAACAAUAAUGUAAGAAUAGUCUUAUCUGAUGGUCCCUUUCUUGAAGUUGGCUAG
rnacentral:rRNA from 1 species